UAGCUCAGUCGGUUGAGCAUGGCACUAACAACGCCAAGGUCACGGGUUUGAUUCCAGU
rfam:Apaloderma vittatum contig48061, whole genome shotgun sequence.